rnacentral:rRNA from 1 species
GAUGAACGCUAGCGGCAGGCCUAACACAUGCAAGUCGAGGGAGAGGUUACCUUCGGGUAACCAAAACCGGCGCACGGGUGCGUAACGCGUAUACAAUCUGCCUUUCACAUAGGGAUAGCCCGAAGAAAUUUGGAUUAAUACCUAAUGGUAUAUAAGAGCGGCAUCGUUUUUAUAUUAAAGCUACGGUGGUGAAAGAUGAGUAUGCGUUCUAUUAGCUAGUUGGAGAGGUAACGGCUCCCCAAGGCGACGAUAGAUAGGGGUUCUGAGAGGGAUGUCCCCCACACUGGUACUGAGAUACGGACCAGACUCCUACGGGAGGCAGCAGUAAGGAAUAUUGGACAAUGGUCGGAAGACUGAUCCAGCCAUGCCGCGUGCAGGAUGAAGGUCCUAUGGAUUGUAAACUGCUUUUGUAAGGGAAGAAUAAGGAGUACGUGUACUUUGAUGACGGUACCUUACGAAUAAGCAUCGGCUAACUCCGUG